UCACUGAGUCUGCCCUUUGA
rnacentral:miRNA from 1 species